GCCGGGGUACCCUAGCCUGGUAGGGGGCAGGCCUGGAGAGCCUGUGGCCCUUUUCGGCCUCGUGGGUUCAAAUCCCACCCCCGGCG
rnacentral:tRNA from 1 species